UACCCUGCAUGCAGCAGGAAGAGAAAGGGUGCUGUGGGGGGGGCACCCCCAGGUUGGUGGGGGGCUGCCAAAAAUGUCCUGCCUACAAAUAUCUCCACAGCAGGACAAACCUCAACUGCCACAUUUCCACUUCUUGUGUCAAUGGCACCAGACCAGAGUCUGCCAGAAACCCUGAGCAACUGGAGGAAAACAUCAUGUAAGAAUUGUGGCUGUUUUAGAGUUAAAGAUAUCUGAUCUGCCAAGUACUGUACAUAGCAAGUUGAAGCCAACUUCAGCUAUCAGCUCAGAUGAGGAAGCCCUUUUCCUUGGAUUAGAAGACUACUUACUGUACAGCAUUAGCUCUGUUGCAGUUUUGAAGGCCACUGAGGGUGGUGAGUUACUGCCAAUGGAUUGACUCCAAAUGUCUCCUCUGUGCCACUUGAUUGAUUGAUUGAAUGAUUGAUUGGUUGAAUUUAUGUACCGCCAAUAUAAAAAUCUCUAGGCGGUAUAUAGAAUUUAAAACAUAACACAUUUAAAAUUCAUAAAAAGCUAAAAUCAUAAUAGAUAAAAACACAUUAAUAACACGUUAAAAUUGAAAAAAUUGAAAAACUUUGAGUGUCAUGCAAGGGUGCUGUCCCAUGGCAAGCUUGCGUGACACUUGGAUUGGCCCUUGAAUGUCUCUUGUGAGAAGAUGUCCUGACAUGUUGUCUUCAUGUGCAAGGAGCUGGCCUGCAUGAGAGCAUGCGGGACAGCGAGGGAGACUUCCAGAGAAUCUGGAGACCCAAUGUGUCCAUUUUAUUGCUCUGGAGUUUUACAUGGGAUGAGGGUGGCAUGAGAAUUGCUUUAGGUGUUUGUUUUUUAUUGCUGUGGCAUUGAUCUAUUUAUUUGUCUUAUCUUAUUGCUGCUAUAUUAUUUAUUUACUUGGUAUUGUUGCUACUACCUAACUGUUUUUCUUAUUUUAUUGCUGGUAGAAGUUAUAUCUGUCUGGCUCAAUAUUGGAUUUUGUGAGUAGGUUUGUUAGUCAUGUUGUUAUGAGUAUUUUAAUGUUAAAGUUAGUUAAUUGUGAUAUUUUGUGCAUUAAUAUUGUGUUACGGAUAUGUUAUUACUAUAUUUUAAUGGAUAUAUUAUGGAUUGCUUUUGAAAAUAUUUUUAUAUGUUUAUGUGAA